CCUACGGGAGGCAGCAGUGAGGAAUAUUGGUCAAUGGGCGAGAGCCUGAACCAGCCAAGUCGCGUGAGGGAGUACUGCCCUAUGGGUUGUAAACCUCUUUUGUCGGGGAGCAAAAGCCGGACGUGUCCGGCUGUGAGAGUACCCGAAGAAAAAGCAUCGGCUAACUCCGUGCCAGCAGCCGCGGUAAUACGGAGGAUGCGAGCGUUAUCCGGAUUUAUUGGGUUUAAAGGGUGCGCAGGCGGAUUUUUAAGUCAGCGGUAAAAUCGUGGGGCUCAACCCCAUCCAGCCGUUGAAACUGGGGAUCUAGAGUGUGCGAGAGGGAUGCGGAAUGCGUGGUGUAGCGGUGAAAUGCAUAGAUAUCACGCAGAACCCCGAUGGCGAAGGCAGCAUACCGGUGCACAACUGACGCUCAGGCACGAAAGCGUGGGUAUCGAACAGGAUUAGAUACCCCAGUAGUC
rnacentral:rRNA from 1 species